UGGCUCUGAGUGAACGCUAUGCAAAUGCUUGACACAUGCUAAUCGAACGUCAAUAUUUCAUUUUUUUUAAUUAGCUAUAUUGAAGUGGUGUACAGGUGAGUAAUUGGUAUUAUGGCUACCUAGAAGUAAGGCAAAAUAAAUCCCUUAUAAGAACAAUUUGUUAUUCUUUAUUUAUAAUAAUGAUAAUUUUUACCCCAGUUAGAUUUUGUAUAAAUAAAGUUAGGUUAAUUAUAGCAAUAAUAAGUGGUUUAAAAGAAAGAGUAUUUCGCUUCUAGUUGAUUAUUAAUAACCGCCGGAUAAGUAGUAAGUAUGGUAAUGGCAUACUUAGCUUGUAUCCGUAGUCAGGACUGAGAGGUCUAUUGACCACACUGGGUCUGAAAAAACCCCAGUGCGUGUAGUACAGCAGUGAGGAAUUUUGGUCAAUGGCCUAACGGCUGAACCAGCAACUUGCAGGAAUGAGAGUUAAUAUAAUAAGUUUAUUAACUUGCUUGACUAGGUCUUAUAAAAUUCUGGAUAAAGCUUAUUAUGAAAACUUUAUAUCCAUAGGUCUCGACCAAAUCUUGUGCCAGCAGUCGCGGUAAGACAAGGGAGACGAGUGUUAUUCAUCUUUAACAGGUAUAUAGGGUACCUAGACGGUGUACAAAGGCUUAGAUAAGUACCUAUUACACUUGAGUUUGAUAUGUGAGAGGAAUAUGUCAGAAUUAUUGGUGGAAAGAUGAAAUUUGCUAAUACUAAUAGGACUGAUAAUGGCGAAGGCAAACCUCUAUGUACAUGUAUUUUGCUUUGUCGGCGUAAAGACAAAAACAUUAAUACUAUAACUGACGUUGAGGGACGAAGGCUCAGAGAGUGAAGAGGAUUAGAUACCCCCGUAGCCUGGGCAGACAAUGAUGAGUGCCAUAGGUUGGCUUUAGGCCGAACUAUAAAUGAAAGUGCAAGCACUCCACCUCAAGAGUAAUGUGGCAACGCAGGAACUGAAAUCAUUAGACCGUUUCUGAAACCAGUAGUGAAGUAUGUUAUUUAAUUCGAUGAUCCUCGAAUAACCUUACCACAAUUUGAAUGAUCUACAAGAUAAUACACAAAUUUGGAAAUUAGUCCAAAGAAAGGAAAUGUUUGUAGACCACAUGCGUUGCAUGGCUGUCUUCAGUUAAUGUCGUGAGAUUUGGUUAGGUCCAUUAAAUUAACGUAAACCCUUGCUUUAUUUAAUAAUAUAAAGCUGCUCUCCGCUGAUAAUUGGAUGUGAUAAUAGGGACUAAGACAAGUCAUCAUGGCCUUAAUAUUGUGGGCUAUAGACGUGCCACAUGUGCCUUUACAAAGGGAUGCAAUAAUGCGAAUUGGAGCUAAUCCCCUAAAAAAGGAUAAAGUAUGGAUUGUAGUCUGAAAUUCGACUCCAUGAAAAAGGAAUUACUAGUAAUCGUGAGUAAUCACAUCACGGUGAAUUUUAUCUCAGAUAGGUACUAACCACUCGUCAGGCGCUGAAAGGAGUAUGUGCAAUAAGUUUGGUGGCUGCCAAUUGAUAGUCUAAAUAGAAAGGUUUAGAUCUUUUGGCUGAUACAUCUUCGUAUGCGUGACUCUGAUUAGUGUUAAGUCGAAAUACGGUUCGGGUUGGGGAACUAGCC
rnacentral:rRNA from 1 species